rnacentral:rRNA from 1 species
UACGGAGGGGGCUAGCGUUGUUCGGAAUUACUGGGCGUAAAGCGCGCGUAGGCGGACCUGCAAGUCGGGGGGUGAAAGCCCGAAGGCUCAACCUCGGAACUGCCUUCGAUACUGCGGGUCUCGAGUCCGGGAGAGGUGAGUGGAAUUCCUAGUGUAGAGGUGAAAUUCGUAGAUAUUAGGAAGAACACCAGUGGCGAAGGCGGCUCACUGGCCCGGUACUGACGCUGAGGCGCGAAAGCGUGGGGAGCAAACAGGAU